UCUUGGUGUUGGGGAGUUUCUGAAGUAGUUGCAUCUGAAGCUACUUCAGAGGCUUUUUGUGUGGUUGAGUUAUGUGGUGAGUUUGUUGUAGGUUCUGGGUUGGGUUGAGGUUGUUGUACACUAACAGGUUCAGGAUUAUCUGGAUAGAGUGGAUGAGUAGGAGGCAAAUUGAAUUUCUCACACAAUUUAAUUCUAUUCUUAGAAAAUUCUAUUUGAGUUUGCUCCCAGUCAAGUGUUCCUAAAUCUGUUAGUUUGGUAGGUUUGGUUUUUAGAAGCUUGUCUAUGUGUUGGCUAAGGGGUUGGUCAUCUG
rnacentral:lncRNA from 1 species